GGAUGAACGCUGGCGGCGUGCCUAAUACAUGCAAGUCGAGCGAACAGAUGAGGAGCUUGCUCCUCUGACGUUCGCGGCGGACGGGUGAGUAACACGUGGAUAACCUACCUAUAAGACUGGGAUAACUUCGGGAAACCGGAGCUAAUACCGGAUAAUAUAUUGAACCGCAUGGUUCAAUAGUGAAAGACGGUUUUGCUGUCACUUAUAGAUGGAUCCGCGCCGCAUUAGCUAGUUGGUAAGGUAACGGCUUACCAAGGCAACGAUGCGUAGCCGAACUGAGAGGGUGAUCGGCCACACUGGAACUGAGACACGGUCCAGACUCCUACGGGAGGCAGCAGUAGGGAAUCUUCCGCAAUGGGCGAAAGCCUGACGGAGCAACGCCGCGUGAGUGAUGAAGGUCUUCGGAUCGUAAAACUCUGUUAUUAGGGAAGAACAAAUGUGUAAGUAACUAUGCACGUCUUGACGGUACCUAAUCAGAAAGCCACGGCUAACUACGUG
rnacentral:rRNA from 1 species